CACCUCUAGCAUUACCAGUAUUAGAGGCACUGCCUGCCCAGUGACAUUAGUUAAACGGCCGCGGUAUCCUGACCGUGCAAAGGUAGCAUAAUCAUUUGUUCCUUAAUUAGGGACUUGUAUGAAUGGCCCCACGAGGGUUUAACUGUCUCUUACUUUCAAUCAGUGAAAUUGACCCUCCCGUGAAGAGGCGGGAAUAUAAAAAUAAGACGAGAAGACCCUAUGGAGCUUAAAUUAAUUUGCUCAACAAAAUUUAAAUCCAGCCCAACAGGAAUAAUUAUAAUUUAACUGAGCAAUAAAUUUUGGUUGGGGUGACCUCGGAGUAUAACAAAACCUCCGAGUGAUUACAACUAAGACAUACUUGUCAAAGUUACGUAACUUAUUGAUCCAAUCAUAUUGAUCAACGAAACAAGUUACCCUAGGGAUAACAGCGCAAUCCUAUUUGAGAGUUCAUAUCGACAAUAGGGUUUACGACCUCGAUGUUGGAUCAGGACACCCAAAUGGUGCAGCAGCUAUUAAAGGUUCGUUUGUUCAACG
rnacentral:rRNA from 1 species